rnacentral:hammerhead_ribozyme from 1 species
AUCCAGCUGAUGAGUCCCAAAUAGGAUGAAACGCACAUCAAACCGGAU